UUGACCUCGGAUCAGGUAGGGAUACCCACUGAACUUAAGCAUAUCAAUAAGCGGAGG
rnacentral:rRNA from 1 species